rnacentral:rRNA from 1 species
AGAGUUUGAUCCUGGCUCAGAGCGAACGCUGGCGGCGUGCUUAACACAUGCAAGUCGAGUGCGCAGUCCCCGCAAGGGGACCGGCGCACGGCGCACGGGUGCGUAACACGUGGGCAACCUGCCCUUGGAUGGGGAAUAACUCGCCGAAAGGCGAGCUAAUACCGCAUAACACUCCGGGAACCGUGGUUACCGGAUUCAAAGCCGUAAGGCGUCCGAGGAGGGGCCCGCGCCCGAUUAGGUAGUUGGCGAGGUAACGGCUCACCAAGCCUUUGAUCGGUAGCCGGUCUGAGAGGAUGGCCGGCCACACUGGAACUGAGACACGGUCCAGACUCCUACGGGAGGCAGCAGUGGGGAAUCUUGCGCAAUGGGCGAAAGCCUGACGCAGCGACGCCGCGUGGGGGAUGAAGCUUCUCGGAGUGUAAACCCCUUUCGACCGGGACGAAACGCCCGCAAGGGAAUUGACGGUACCGGUAGAAGAAGCCCCGGCUAACUACGUGCCAGCAGCCGCGGUAAGACGUAGGGGGCCAGCGUUGCUCGGAAUAACUGGGCGUAAAGGGUCUGUAGGCGGUGCGGCAAGUCGGGAGUGAAAUCCCUGGGCUCAACUCAGGGGCUGCUUCCGAAACUGCCGUGCUGGAGUGCGGGAGAGGCGAGUGGAAUUGCAGGUGUAGCGGUGAAAUGCGUAGAUAUCUGCAGGAACACCCGUGGCGAAGGCGGCUCGCUGGACCGCAACUGACGCUGAAAGACGAAAGCUAGGGGAGCAAACAGGAUUAGAUACCCCAGUAGUCC